rnacentral:sRNA from 1 species
UAGCUCAGUGAAUAUAGCAUCAGGAAUAAGCUCCUCAGACGAAAAGCUAGAAAACUCUUGACAUUUUUUAUAUAAAUAUCUCGAUGAAUACGAAUGAUAUGAACGAUGUGCAGAAAAUAAAGCCCAUAUUGAAGAAGACACGGAAAUUUUCGACAGCAGAAAUUAGAAGACCAAUGAGUGGUCGGAGCAACCUCGGCUGUUUCUUUUCCUUGCACUGCUUUUGUAUGGUCACCAAGUAAUGCAGAGCCUCAGUUAGCUUAUCUUACCACAUCAACUAUAAACUUUGAGAUGAGCUCCUCCAAAUUGAAGCCGGCUGUCAGGCGCAGGCCAAACAACUAGAAUAAAAAGUUCAGCACGGCAAACGCAAUUGUCGUGUCAGCAGCAACAGGCAGCAGCAGGAGGAGCAACAGCAGCAGCAGCAGCAGCAACAACGAAAUUCAAAUAAUUUGAUGAGAAAUUUUUAAUUAACCAAACGCUCGCUCGUAGCUGCCUUUACACUGGCUCUGUGUGUGUUUGUUUUUGGUUGGGCGUUGCUCGCCGCAAAACGCAAAUACUACAGUCGAGGCAAAAUUAAUUUGCCCAGUGCAAAUACUAUGCAAAAAUUCUCACUGUGUGUGUGUAUGUGUGUGUGCGGCGUCAUAAAUUUUACAGCUGUGCGAGAGCAAAACCCCAACCAUGCCAGCCAAAUAACACAAAUUUUUCGCUGACGAGCGAGCAAAGUCAAGCAUAGUGCAAAUAUAAACAGAGCCAAGCACACACAGACACACACUCACACACACACAUGCACAUGCAGAGUGUGUGCAGUGCAAGUCAUCAGGCAAGCUGCUGGGAGUUUCAGUUCCAGUUGCCAAGCUCGAGUCUCAGCCAAUUGCCACAAUGAGGCGGCGGCGGCUGCUGCUGCUGCUGCUGUGUGGUGUUUCCAAGAAAUUUCACCUGCCAUGGCAGCCCUAGACAUCACACACAUACAUACACACACAUGCACACUCGUGAGCACAUAUUUAGUGGUAUUAUGGCCUGGCUAGCUUACGUCGUAGCUGACGUCUAUGACUGCCAAAUACUCGUAGUGCCAUUUGCCACUUGCCACUUGCUGUCGUCAGUGGCACAGCCACAUCCACAUCCACAUUCACAGCCACAUGUAGAGCCAGUACUACAGCUCUAGCUAGUGCCACUGCCGCUGCCAGUUGCAGUUGCUGGGAGUUAGUUACCCAGCAGGCGCUGUCAUAAACAAUCUCAUUUUGCUAGCCAAGCGAACCCAGUGAACAACAUUAAU